rnacentral:rRNA from 1 species
UACGUAGGGUUCUAUCGUUUUUCUUCCUCCUUUGGCGUAAAGCGCGUGUAGGUGGUCAGGAAAGUCGGGUGUGAAAUCUUGGAGCUUAACUCCGAAACUGCAUUCGAUACUGCCGUGCUCGAGGACUGGAGAGGAGACUGGAAUUUACGGUGUAGCGGUGAAAUGCGUAGAUAUCGUAAGGAAGACCAGUGGCGAAGGCGGGUCUCUGGACAGUUCCUGACGCUGAGGCACGAAGGCCAGGGGAGCAAACGGG